rnacentral:rRNA from 1 species
UACGUAGGGUGCAAGCGUUGCCCGGAUUUAUUGGGCGUAAAGGGCGCGUAGGCGGCUCGGCACGUCCGUUGUGAAAUCGCCCGGCUCAACUGGGCGGGGUCAGCGGAUACGGUCGAGCUUGAGCAAGCUAGGGGGCAAUGGAAUUCCCGGUGUAGUGGUGGAAUGCGUAGAUAUGCGGAGGAACACCGAUGGCGAAGGCAGCCCCCUGGGCUAGCACUGACGCUCAGGCACGAAAGCGUGGGGAGCAAACAGG